rnacentral:rRNA from 1 species
GUGGGGAAUAUUGGACAAUGGGCGAAAGCCUGAUCCAGCCAUGCCGCGUGUGUGAAGAAGGUCUUCGGAUUGUAAAGCACUUUAAGUUGGGAGGAAGGGUAGUAACCUAAUACGUUGCUACUUUGACGUUACCGACAGAAUAAGCACCGGCUAACUUCGUGCCAGCAGCCGCGGUAAUACGAAGGGUGCAAGCGUUAAUCGGAAUUACUGGGCGUAAAGCGCGCGUAGGUGGGUUUGUAAGUUGGAGGUGAAAUCCCCGGGCUCAACCUGGGAACUGGCUCCAAAACUGCAUGACUAGAGUACGGUAGAGGGUAGUGGAAUUUCCUGUGUAGCGGUGACAUGCGUAGAUAUAGGAAGGAACACCAGUGGCGAAGGCGACUACCUGGACUGAUACUGACACUGAGGUGCGAAAGCGUGGGGAGCAAACAGGAUUAGAUACCCCGGUAGUCC